rnacentral:rRNA from 1 species
UUGGUGAGGUAAAGGCCCACCAAGACUGUGAUGCAUAGCCGACCUGAGAGGGUAAUCGGCCACACUGGGACUGAGACACGGCCCAGACUCCUACGGGAGGCAGCAGUAGGGAAUCUUCCACAAUGGACGAAAGUCUGAUGGAGCAACGCCGCGUGAGUGAAGAAGGUUUUCGGAUCGUAAAACUCUGUUGUUGGAGAAGAAUGUAUCUGAUAGUAACUGAUCAGGUAGUGACGGUAUCCAACCAGAAAGCCACGGCUAACUACGUGCCAGCAGCCGCGGUAAUACGUAGGUGGCAAGCGUUGUCCGGAUUUAUUGGGCGUAAAGCGAGCGCAGGCGGUUUUUUAAGUCUGAUGUGAAAGCCUUCGGCUCAACCGAAGAAGUGCAUCGGAAACUGGGAAACUUGAGUGCAGAAGAGGACAGUGGAACUCCAUGUGUAGCGGUGAAAUGCGUAGAUAUAUGGAAGAACACCAGUGGCGAAGGCGGCUGUCUGGUCUGUAACUGACGCUGAGGCUCGAAAGCAUGGGUAGCAAACAGGAUUAGAUACCCUGGUAGUCCAUGCCGUAAACGAUGAGUGCUAGGUGUUGGAGGGUUUCCGCCCUUCAGU